UGAGAAGGCUGGAGGGCCAGAUGGUUUCAUCGCUGAGGGAAGCGCUGUACUCACCUGAUGGCCGAUCUCGGGGCACUCCCAGUGCCUGCUGCCUGUUGCUGUCCCUGAGCUCUGACUACGUCUACUUUGAGAACUCCUCCAGCAACCCAUACCUGAUCCGGAGGAUCGAGGAGCUCAACAAGACGGCCAAUGGGAACGUGGAGGCCAAAGUGGUGUGCUUCUACCGGAGGCGGGACAUCUCCAGCACCCUCAUCGCCCUGGCCGACAAGCACGCAACCCUGUCAGUCUGCUAUAAGGCCGGACCGGGGGCGGACAACGGCGAGGAAGGGGAAAUAGAAGAGGAAAUGGAGAAUCCGGAAAUGGUGGACCUGCCUGAGAAACUAAAGCACCAGCUGCGGCAUCGGGAGCUGUUCCUCUCCCGGCAGCUGGAGUCUCUGCCCGCCACGCACAUCAGGGGCAAGUGCAGCGUCACCCUGCUCAACGAGACCGAGUCGCUCAAGUCCUACCUGGAGCGGGAGGAUUUCUUCUUCUAUUCUCUAGUCUACGACCCACAGCAGAAGACCCUGCUGGCAGAUAAAGGAGAGAUUCGAGUAGGAAACCGGUACCAGGCAGACAUCACCGACUUGUUAAAAGAAGGCGAGGAGGAUGGCCGAGACCAGUCCAAGCUGGAGACCAAGGUGUGGGAGGCGCACAACCCACUCACAGACAAGCAGAUUGACCAGUUCCUGGUGGUGGCCCGCUCUGUGGGCACCUUCGCACGGGCCCUGGACUGCAGCAGCUCCGUCCGGCAGCCCAGCCUGCACAUGAGCGCCGCAGCUGCCUCCCGAGACAUCACCCUGUUCCACGCCAUGGAUACUCUCCACAAGAACAUCUACGACAUCUCCAAGGCCAUCUCGGCGCUGGUGCCGCAGGGCGGGCCCGUGCUCUGCAGGGACGAGAUGGAGGAGUGGUCUGCAUCAGAGGCCAACCUUUUCGAGGAAGCCCUGGAAAAAUAUGGGAAGGAUUUCACAGACAUUCAGCAAGAUUUUCUCCCGUGGAAGUCGCUGACCAGCAUCAUUGAGUACUACUACAUGUGGAAGACCACCGACAGAUACGUGCAGCAGAAACGCUUGAAAGCAGCUGAAGCUGAGAGCAAGUUAAAGCAAGUUUAUAUUCCCAACUAUAACAAGCCAAAUCCCAACCAAAUCAGCGUCAACAACGUCAAGGCCGGUGUGGUGAACGGCACGGGGGCGCCGGGCCAGAGCCCUGGGGCUGGCCGGGCCUGCGAGAGCUGUUACACCACACAGUCUUACCAGUGGUAUUCUUGGGGUCCCCCUAACAUGCAGUGUCGUCUCUGCGCAUCUUGUUGGACAUAUUGGAAGAAAUAUGGUGGCUUGAAAAUGCCAACCCGGUUAGAUGGAGAGAGGCCAGGACCAAACCGCAGUAACAUGAGUCCCCACGGCCUCCCAGCCCGGAGCAGCGGGAGCCCCAAGUUUGCCAUGAAGACCAGGCAGGCUUUCUAUCUGCACACGACGAAGCUGACGCGGAUCGCCCGGCGCCUGUGCCGUGAGAUCCUGCGCCCGUGGCACGCUGCGCGGCACCCCUACCUGCCCAUCAACAGCGCGGCCAUCAAGGCCGAGUGCACGGCGCGGCUGCCCGAAGCCUCCCAGAGCCCGCUGGUGCUGAAGCAGGCGGUACGCAAGCCGCUGGAAGCCGUGCUUCGGUAUCUUGAGACCCACCCCCGCCCCCCCAAGCCUGACCCCGUGAAAAGCGUGUCCAGCGUGCUCAGCAGCCUGACACCCGCCAAGGUGGCCCCCGUCAUCAACAACGGCUCCCCCACCAUCCUGGGCAAGCGCAGCUACGAGCAGCACAACGGGGUGGACGGCAACAUGAAGAAGCGCCUCUUGAUGCCCAGUAGGGGUAAGGCCUGGGGCCGCGGGCGGGCGCUGCGCCGGCCCCGCCCGUGAUGCCUGUGCUGUGCUGCUGUGUGUCCCCGCGGCGGGCGGCCCAGGGCCCAUGCUUGGGGCAGUCCACGUGAGCCAGGCCACAGCCCAGUUCCCUACAUUCCUCCUGACAUCACUGGUCCCUUGGUGAAGACCCCCCGAGCCCAGGCAUCUGGCCCUCGGCCCCGUGGCCCCGCGCCCUGUCAGUGGACUGUCCUGGCACGUGUGGCCCUGGCGCCCCUGCCUGCGCUGUCUGCCAUCGCGCUGUGACUGCCCGCAUGCUGCCAGCCUCAGCUCGUGGGGCCGCCCGUGCUGUGCCUGCAAUCCUUUCGUGCGCCUGCCAGGCGGGACAGUGGGGAGGGUGGUCGGGGGUGUUUGCGUGGGCCGUGGGCAACUGAGCUUGUACACACGGGCGCCUUCUGUCAGAGGACUGGCUCAGGUGCUCUGUGCCGGUUGCUUGGAGCAGGGGCUGCGGGACCCCAGGCCCCUUGGGGAAGAGUAGAUAGGACCAGGCCUAGCAUGAGGAGGCCAGGUGUGUGGGGCCUGGGUGUGCAAGUGCUGGGCCUGCCAGUGUGGAUGUGCCUGGAGCCCCUUCCCCAGGCGGCUUUCACUGACGGUGCUGGCCAGGGCAGCAGGGCCGGUUUGGCGACCUGGAGGUGGAUAUGGGCAGUGGCUGCCCAGCCCAGCCAGCCCUGUCCCCUUGGGGCAUUCUCUCGAGGCUGCUGGGUGUCCUGGCAGGCACGUCCUGUGGGGUUAGCACGCCGGCUGCAGCGCAGGGUGGGCCUGAGAUCGGGUGCCGGGCCCCCCAUCUCCACCUGUCUGGACACGCACCCCUGGCCUGUCCUUGCAGCUUCCUCCCGACAGCCCUUGGCGGUGUCUCUGUCUCGGCCCCAGCCCCCGCCCUCCCUUCCUGGGGCACCCUCCCAGCCAUCUGGUAUUGGGGCUGCCCCCAUUGCCUAGUCCUGGGCCCAGGGCCAGCCCACUCUGGGCUGGCUUUACUUGUCUGUUCCUAAUGGCGGGGCGUCCCAGGAACAGCCCCAUAAGAGCUGGUAGAAACAGGAGGGAGUCCUUGUCAGCAGGCAUCUUCGAGCUUUUUGUUUUGUUUUGUAAGAAGCGGUUAACCAGCAAGUUACAUAAAAGCUUAUUUGUUCCCACUGAAUUUUCCACACGUCACACGUGAGUCCCAGCCGUGCAGUGCUUGUGAGGGAGCAUCACCCCUUGCCGCCUGGCUGGGCGGGGCCCUGGGCUCAGAGGGGUCAGCCACAGAGGAAGCGCCUGUCCUGACGUGUAGCGGCCAGGACCUGGGCGCUGGAGAGGGGCCAGCUGGGUGAAGACGGCUCCCGGGGGCACUGGCGCACACGAGGUGGGGUCUCUGUCCAGCCUGGGUAGGCAUGAGCUGAGCUCGAGCGAGGGCCCUGCCUGCCCACAGCACGGGGCCCCAGCGCUCUAACCCGGCCAUUUGCCCGUGCAGCCUGUUGCGCUGUCCCCACCUGCGGGGCCUGCAGAUGGCUGCGUGUGGCUCACUAACCUAAAGCAUGUGUUUCUUCCCUCUGCUGUCCACCGCUCUGGUAGGCACUUACCUGGGUAAGUAGUUUUUGUGCUACUGGCCAGCCCUGGGCGCUGGGCCUUGGCUUGUGGCAGGUGCCCUGAGGUAUGGCUGUUCCUGCUUGGGAGCGCCGCAGAUCAGGCACCUGGGCCCCCACCUGACCCUGCCCGGCAGAGCUAAGCAAACUGGCAGGGAAAGGCUGACCCAGGGCUCCAGGGCCCCAGUUGGCUCCCAGGGGAGUGCCCCAAGUUAGGAGGCAACUGCAGGUGGGGAGGAGCUGGACAGGCCACUUCUGUUCCUUAAGGGAUGGGCCUCAGCUAAGCAGCGUUUCUGGAGCUGGCAGGUUGCUCCGAUGCCCCUGGGCCCUGGCACCUGACUGAGUAUGACGUCCUGUCCUCUCUGAGCUGGUCCUGCUGGGAGCCGAGCCAUCCUGGGACCAGCUCCCACAUGCACACGCCCACACCUACAGGCAGGGCAGUGGGGAAGGGCAGUGAGUGGGGGAGGGCAGCAGCGGUCCUGGGCCCAGCUGGGGGUGACCAGGAGCAUGGACCCCGCUUCUUGGCCCAACUCCCGCAGUGCCCCUUGGGCUCCUCACCCUGCACUGUGGGAAGUCAGAGGCCUCUGGCACCCCAUCCCCAAGCACAUGCCAGGGUGGCUGGGGCCCAGCCAGGGCAGUGGGUGGUGACCUGUUUCUGGCCGGGGCUGGCAGCUCUCUCAGAGCCUUAGGAAGAAGCCCGGCCUCCUGGUGGGGCAGUGCCGGCCACAGCAUGGCUGCCCUGCAGAGGGGCUUGUGCCGCUGCUGGACUGACAGCCUUGCGAGGCUUUGCUUGUCUCGGCAUGGCAGGCAAGUGGGUGGACAGCCCCGGCCCCUGUGCAGGGAGGUGACUGUCGGGUCCAAGGCUCCUGGCCGCCUGCCUGGAGCCCAAGCCAAUGUGUCUCUUGCUGGCCAGAGAGCUGUGGGGCCACCAGGCGGCCCAGGACCCGGGGAGGUCUGGCAAACCACGGACAGACCAGGCACAUGGGACCAAGCCGGAACCUCCUGCUCAACGGGAAGUCUUACCCCACCAAAGUGCGCCUGAUCCGGGGGGGCUCCCUGCCCCCAGUCAAGCGGCGGCGGAUGAACUGGAUCGACGCCCCGGAUGACGUGUUCUACAUGGCCACAGAGGAGACCAGGAAGAUCCGCAAGCUGCUCUCAUCCUCGGAAACCAAGCGUGCUGCCCGCCGGCCCUACAAGCCCAUCGCCCUGCGCCAGAGCCAGGCCCUGCCGCUGCGGCCACCGCCACCUGCGCCCGUCAACGACGAGCCCAUCGUCAUCGAGGACUAGGGGCCGCCCCCACCUGCGGCCGCCCCCCGCCCCUCGCCCGCCCACACGGCCCCUUCCCAGCCAGCCCGCCGCCCGCCCCUCAGUUUGGUAGUGCCCCACCUCCCGCCCUCACCUGCAGAGAAACGCGCUCCUUGGCGGACCCUGGGGGAGGAGAGGAAGAAGCGCGGCUAACUUAUUCCGAGAAUGCCGAGGAGUUGUCGUUUUUAGCUUUGUGUUUACUUUUUGGCUGGAGCGGAGAUGAGGGGCCACCCCGUGCCCCUGUGCUGCGGGGCCUUUUGCCCGGAGGCCGGGCCCUAAGGUUUUGUUGUGUUCUGUUGAAGGUGCCAUUUUAAAUUUUAUUUUUAUUACUUUUUUUGUAGAUGAACUUGAGCUCUGUAACUUACACCUGGAAUGUUAGGAUCGUGCGGCCGCGGCCGGCCGAGCUGCCUGGCGGGGUUGGCCCUUGUCUUUUCAAGUAAUUUUCAUAUUAAACAAAAACAAAGAAAAAAAAUCUUAUAAAAAGGAAAAAAACCAA